CGGAUUGUAGUCUGCAACCCGACUACAUGAAGCCGGAAUCGCUAGUAAUCGCGGAUCAGAAUGCCGCGGUGAAUACGUUCCCGGGUCUUGUACACACCGCCCGUCACACCAUGGGAGUCGGAAAUGCCCGAAGCCGGUGACCCAACCCGAAAGGGAGGGAGCCGUCGAAGGCAGGUCGGAUGACUGGGGUGAAGUCGUAACAAGGUAGC
rnacentral:rRNA from 1 species